rnacentral:rRNA from 1 species
AUUCCAGCUCCAAUAGCGUAUAUUAAAGUUGUUGCAGUUAAAACGCUCGUAGUCGGAUUUCGGGGCGGCUUCGCCGGUCUGCCGAUGGGUAUGCACUGGCGAGGGCGUCCUUCCUUCCGGAGACUGGCCCUACUCUUAACUGAGCGGGGUCGGGAGUCGGAUCGUUUACUUUGAAAAAAUCAGAGUGUUUCAAGCAGGCAUAUCGUUCUUGCAUGGAUUAGCAUGGGAUAAUGAAAUAGGACUUUGGUGCUAUUUUGUUGGUUUCGAACACCGAAGUAAUGAUUAACAGGGACAGUCAGGGGCACUCGUAUUCCGCCGAGAGAGGUGAAAUUCUCAGACCAGCGGAAGACGAACUACUGCGAAAGCAUUUGCCAGGGAUGUUUUCAUCG